UAGGGAAUCUUCGGCAAUGGACGAAAGUCUGACCGAGCAACGCCGCGUGAGUGAAGAAGGUUUUCGGAUCGUAAAACUCUGUUGUUAGAGAAGAACAAGGACGUUAGUAACUGAACGUCCCCUGACGGUAUCUAACCAGAAAGCCACGGCUAACUACGUGCCAGCAGCCGCGGUAAUACGUAGGUGGCAAGCGUUGUCCGGAUUUAUUGGGCGUAAAGCGAGCGCAGGCGGUUUCUUAAGUCUGAUGUGGAAGCCCCCGGCUCAACCGGGGAGGGUCAGUGGAAAAUGGGAGAGUGGAGUGUAGAAGAGGAGAGUGGAAUUCGAGGUGUAGCGGUGAAAGGCGUAGAUAUAUGGAGGAACACCAGUGGAGAAGGCGGGUCUCUGGUCUGUAACUGACGCUGAGGCUCGAAAGCGUGGGGAGCAAACAGG
rnacentral:rRNA from 1 species